GGAGGAGGAGGAGAAGGAGAAGGAGAAGGAGAAGGAGAAGGAGAAGGAGAAGGAGAAGGAGAAGAAGAAGAUCACAAACCCCAGGCAGCCCCAGGCUGACUGCUGCGGCCCGGACCCCCCUCACCCAUCGCAAAAGCAGAUCGACAUUGACAGCAGACAGCCAGGUCUCCGAGAUGGCAUCAAGCAUGCCAGUGAAGAUGAAACUCAGGAUGACAACACAAGGGAGCUGCCAAGCUGGAUGCCGAUGUGGAAUUCCGCCCCUCAGGGCACUGUUGGAGCAUUUCAAAGAGGUUACUUGCUACUGGAGAGACCAAGAGAGAGCACAAGUAGGCAGAGGGGCGGACAGAGGGAGAAGAAGAAGUGGGCUCCUCGCUGAGCAGGGAGCCCGACGUGGGGCUUGAUCCCAGGACCCCGAGAUCAUGACCUGAGCUGAAGACAGAAGCUUAACAGACUGAGCCACCCAGGCCCCCUUGAGUCAUAUUUCUUUUGUGACCAUUGAGGUUUGAACACGGGUUAUGUUUUUAUUGUAUUUGCAUUUCGUCUUCUGUGAUUUGCUUUUCCAUAUCAUCUUGUGGUCCCCCCGACGCCACGGUGUGUGCAUGAGUUUCCCAGGGCUGCCGUAGCACAGAACUACUGCAUGGCUUAAAACAACAGAAAUUUAUUCUCUCAUAGUUCUGGAGGUGGGAAGCCUGAAAUUAAAGCAGGAAGGUCACAUUCACAGGGGGGUCGAAUGUGAAUAUUUCUUUUUUUUUUUCUGGGGUGGAGGGGCAGGGAGACACAAUUAAACCUACUACAGCGUGCUUGUCUUUUCUUUAGUAGUUUGUAACCACUUUAUGCUUCAACUUUUCACUCUUCAGACUGGCACCUGCCCCUCUGUUUGGUUAGAGCGGGACAGAGAUUUGACUGAACCUGAGGCAGGUAGGAUCUUACACCCAGCUACCUUGGGAGUCAUGAGACCCAUGGGUCUCAGGAGUUCCUGCAUUAAGCCUUUCUUCCUGGAGAAGCUAAGUGACAGAGGAAGAAAGAAAAGAGCUAUCUUCCUGGCACUGCUGUGAGUGACUACUGGCAGCUCUUCCAGGAGCAGUCCUUGAAACCACUGGUCAGGUGGAUGAUGAUCAGGAUGGGAUCAGACUGAGCCACCAACGACAGUCUCUGAAUGAUGAAUGACCACUGGGAAGGGUGUCAUUUGGCUUCAUUGGAACUUUCUGGGCUUAUAUGAGGCUGUUUGGCUAAUGUUCGUUUGUUAAAACAUGAUUUAUCCUUCUUCCUGCUUCUCAAGCACUCAAGUGUUUCAAUAGCAGCUUAGCCUUUGAACUUAUAGUUUCCUUGCACCUGCAUGGAUCAUGCUCAUCAUAGGAAGCAGAACUAUUACAAGCUAAGAAGACUCUGUUCUCCCAGGCCUCUGCAGGGGCCUUUCCUAGUCCGGUAGGAGGAUAGAGAAGAAUUGGCUUCAAUUUCCAGAUUAGUUAAACUGGAACAGUAGUCCAGCGGCAAGUUUCACUGGAACCCCAAUCUGGAGCCUUCUCUUUUACAACCUCACCUCUGAGGAGUGGCUCUGCAGAGUCAAGAACAAGGCAAAACUCCUGAGAGCCUCUGAGUCUCUGAGUGGGGAGGGCUUUUUUCCAAGAUGGUAAGGAGGUGGUGUGCCAGUAGGUCUGUUCGACAAUGAGCCUGAGGCAAUAAGCAGUGUGGCAGCUCAACUUUUAUCUUUCUCAUUGGGAUGGUAAGUAGUGAGUGAUGUCAGGGCCAGGAGAGGCAGUGAAGGUGGAGAAAAUUGCAGCGUGCCCACCACCAUACACUCCUGCUCAGGGAGGACUGUGAGCAUCAAUACAAAUGGCUUCCAGAAGCUGAAAGCUUAUCAGUGGAAAAGUGCUGGGGACUCUUGAAUUUAGGAGAAAAUAUAGACCUGCUUUUGAAUCCCAGCUCUGCAAGUUGCUAGCUAAGUAGCAUGAGUUAAUUCUCUUAAUCUCUUUUAAGUUUCAGUUUAUUUUUUGUAAAAGUAAGAUAAUAUUUUCACAAGUUGUUUACCAGUAAAAUAAAGUAAUGUUGAAGAAAAGCCCAUCAGAGGGUCUGGCACAUAUCUUACCGUAUACAAAAAUCAGCUCAAAAUGGAUUAGACUUGAAUGUAAGACUGGAAACCAUAAAAUUCCCAGAAGAAAACAUAGGCAAGAAACUCUUGGACAUCAGCAUUAGCAACAGUUUUCUGGAAUUGUCUCCCCAGACAAGAAAGACAAAAGCACAAAUAAACAAUUGGGAUUGAAUCAAACUAAAAUGUUUUUGCCUAGUGAAAGAAAAACUGUCAACAAAAUACAAAGACAAACUACUGAAUGGGAGAAGAUAUUUGCAAACCAUCUAUCCAAUGAAAGAUUCAUAUCCAAAAUAUAUAAAGAAUUCAUAAAACUCAAUAACAAAAAGACAAAGAAUUAAAUUAAAUUCUGACUAGACAUUUUUCCAGAGAAGACAUACCAGUGGCCAACAAACUAAUACAUACAAAUGUUCAACAUCACUAAUCAUCAGGGAAAUAAAAAUAAAAACCACAGUGAGGUAUCACUUUGCACCUGUCAGAGUGGCUAGUAUCAAAAAGACAAGAAACAGCAAGUGUUGGUGAGAAGGUGGAGAAAAGAGAACCCCGAUACAUUGUGGUGGGAAUGUAAAUUGGCUCAGCAACUAUAGACAACAGUAGAGUUUCCUCCAAAAAUUAAAAAUAGAGCUACCAUAUGAUCCAGCGAUUCCACUGCUGAGUAUCUAUCUGAAGAAAACGAAAACACGAAUUCAAAAAGACAUAUGCACCCCUAUGUUAAUUGCAGCAUUAUUUACAAUAGCAAAGAUAGGGAAGCAAUCUAAGUGUCCAUCGGUAGACGCGUGGAUAGAGAAGAUGUGGUGUAUGUAUACAGUGGAAUAUUACUCUGCCAUAAAAAGGAAUGAAAUCUUGUCAUUUGUGACAACACGGGCGGAUCUUGAGUGUAUUAUGGUAAAUAAAAUAAGUAAGACAGAGAGAGACACAAAUACCACAUGAUUUCACUUACAUGUGGAAUAAAGCAUAACAAAAAAAUAAAAUGAAAUAAAACCCAGACUCACAGAUACAGAGAAUAGGCUGGUGGUUGCCAGUUGGGGUGGGGAAGAGGAUUAAGAAGUAUAAAACUCAAGUUAUAAAGUAAAUAAGUCAUGGGAAUGUAAUCUAAAGUAUGGGGAAUAUGGUCUAUAGCAUUGUAUUAACUUUGUAAAGGUGACAGGUGGUAACUAGACUUAUUGUGGUGACUAUUUCUCCGUGUAUACAAAUGUCAAAUCACUAUGCUGUAUACCUGAAACUAAUAUAAUAUUGUAUAUCAAUUAUAUCUCAGUAAUAAAAAAAAAGAAACAGUCUUUUGAAGGAUUAGGCAUUUUCAUCACCAGGGGGAAUGAGAUACCACAAGGACUACUUCGGUCUUCUUCCCAGGGGGUUCAUAACUCCAUAGACUAAGACUCUGGUUAUGUGUAUGGGGCAAGGGACAUUAUGCUUUGUGUGAUUGAAUGUGUGAUUCAUUUGACACUGAGAAUAAAACCCGGUUGAAUAAUAAGAAAA